rnacentral:sRNA from 1 species
CAAAAGGGUAAGUGAAUGGGUUCUGCUGAAUGAUUUAUUUAGUGACUUAUUAUAACCUCUCAUCAUUAAGGAAAGUAAUACAUGCUUUAUUUACUUUGUUGUGCUUUUCUCUAGAUUUUUACUAUCUGCAUAUUAACAUUUAAAAAUAUUUUUAUAAAAAUGAGAAUCAGACUAUGCAUACUGUUUUGCAACUUUAUUUUUUCAUUUAACAGUAUAUCUCAUACAUCUUUCUGUAUCACUACAUAUCUUAUUUCCCUUGUUUUUAAUGGCUACAUAGUAUUCUGCUAUAUGAUAUACCUAUUAACAACAUUUGUGCUUUAUACAUUUUUGCUAUUACAAAUAAUACUUCAGUGAAUAUCCUUGGACAUUUGGCAAGUAUUUAUAUCAAAAAAAAUCUUUGAUGAAUAAUCCCAUGCAUUGACUCAUGAUUUCAGUUCUCUUUCCAUAUUCAUUCCCAUACUAUAUUCUGUUGUUUUUCCUACAGAUGAGGAUCAAGUGGACAGAGAUAUCAACUGUCUAUGCUGGGCCAUUUAGCAAAAAUUGCAAUCUCAGGGCUCUGAAGAGGCUGUUUAAGAGCUUUGGCCCAGUCCAGUCAAUGACUUUUGUUCUUGAAACCCGUCAGCCUCAUCUCUGUAUACAGUAUGAAGUCCUAGAAGCUGCCCAGCUGGCCAUAGAGUCCUUGGAUGGUAUUCUGGUAGAUGGUAUCUGCAUCAAGGUGCAGAGGCCUGUGACAGAGCUCACGCUUGAUU